rnacentral:rRNA from 1 species
CUAACCUGCUCACUGACAAAGUUUUAAAGAGCCGCGGUAUUUUGACCGUGCAAAGGUAGCAUAAUCAUUAGUCUCUUAAUUAGGGCCUUGAAUGAAUGGUUUGACGAGAAAUCAUCUGUCUCUUAUUAAAUUAUAGAAUUUAACUUUUGAGUUAAAAGGCUUAAAUUUUUCUUUAAGACGAGAAGACCCUAUAGAGCUUAACAUUUUAUUUUUAUAUAAUGUAUAGUUUAUUUUUUUAUAUUUAAAGAUAAUGUUUUGUUGGGGUGACAUGAAGAAUAAAUAAACUCUUCAUUAUAAAAUCAUUAAUUUAUGUUUAUUAUGAUCCAUAAUUUAUGAUCAUAAGAUUUAGUUACCUUAGGGAUAACAGCGUAAUUGUUUUUGAGAGCUCAUAUUGACAAAAUAGAUUGCGACCUCGAUGUUGGAUUAAGAAUAGUUUUAGGGUGUAGGAGCCCAUAAUAAGGUCUGU